rnacentral:rRNA from 1 species
UACAGGGGGUGCAAACGUUGCUCGGAAUCAUUGGGCGUAAAGCGCACGUAGGCGGUUCGUUAUGUCGGAUGUGAAAGCCCUUGGCUUAACCGAGGAAGUGCAUCCGAAACUGGCGAGCUAGAGUACUAAAGAGGAUCGCGGAAUUCCCGGUGUAGAGGUGAAAUUCGUAGAUAUUAGGAAGAACACCAGUGGCGAAGGCGGCUCACUGGUCCGGUACUGACGCUGAGGUGCGAAAGCGUGGGGAGCAAACAGG